GCUCCUCCAACCUCCCACCCUAAAACAUGCAACCUUUCCUUACCCCUAUCUGUAGUUAACCCCGCUGUUAGGGAUAUUUCCACACCCUCAGUUGCAAAACACCACACCCCUGUCCACAUUACCCUUAAAGACCCCACACUAUUGAAGCCAAUCUGCUCCUCCCAGGCACCACCUCCCAAAAAGCUGAACUCAUCACCCUCACUCGAGCUCUCACUCUAGCAGCCGGACAACAGUUCUCUAAUUUAGGAGGAUUUAAAACCCUGGUAGGGACAGUAAUCUUCAUCACUUUUUCUCCCCUGUGUUAUCCCACUAAUAAUAAAAGCCACUAAAACUCUUAUUGAAACUACAGUUAGCCACCAGACAAUUCAGACUAUGCUCCUGCUACAACGACACGAUGGAUACCAACACAUCUCUCAAGAAUACCCUAAAAAUUAAGUUUUUCUUUUUCCAAGGAGCCCACACCACCCCUAAGUCACGCCUGAAGUAGUUAUUGAGAAAGUCACCCCUUUUCCCUUUUUACUAUAACCAAAUAGACAGGAAUGAAAGAUUCUCCCCGGGGUCUGAAAGCUUGAAGAGAUGAGUAACUCCUCCCUUCUCAGGCCCAGUCCCAAGGUGCAAGGCCAGUUGCGCCAGCAGUGUGCAUCAGCAAGACAGCAGAAGCAGGAAGACAGCCGGCCAGAAGACACCUACCCUGGCUGGAAGACACGUACCCCUUGAAGACAGAGAGAGGGGCCGUCUGGGUACUGUGCAGAAGUUACAUCAGACUGAGACACUUCUUGUUUACAGGAAACUAUAAAACCCCUGCCUCGUCCUCACUUGGUGCUGACGCCAUUUUAGGCCUCAGCCCACCUGCACCCAGGCGCUCGUUAAAACAGCACGUUGCCCCACACCGCCUCAUGUUGUCUGUUGGCAGGCUCUCGGGGUUCGAACCAAUACAAGAACCUUUCAUAAACUUUACCUUAAACAUUACAGUCUAAAGGCCAUACCAUUCCUCAGGCCCAAAGCUGAAUCUUCCCAGCAUUGUUUCUCCCUCCUCACUUCUCAUUGCAUCUAAUCAGUCUAGAGACUGUCCCAUUCCCUAGUCCUCUGUCCUACAGAUUCUAUCUCUCCGAAGUCUCCCUACCUGUCCCCACCUCAUCACUCUCUCAGGCCCAAAAUAAGGCCUCAUCCCUUUGACCCUGGAUCAGCCUCCCGGUUUCCUAUCCGGCCUCGCCGCCCCCACUGUCUUUUUCCCUUGGAGUUUGCUUCCCACCACACUCCCAGAACUUUGCCAUUGCAGCAGUUGCCUUCGGGUUUGUCAACAGAAUCACCUGGGGGAACUUGGUAAAAACAUCCCAGACUACUUAAUCUGAACGUUUUACAAAACUCCCCAGGCGAUUAUGAGGCAUAGCCAGGUUUGCAAACUGCUACUCUAAAUCCUUGCUACACAUAGGGAAAUGAUCAGCAAGCUCCUGGGAAUCUGUUAGAAACACAGAAUGUCAAGUCCCACCCCUGACCUAUGGAAUCAUAAUUUGCAUUUGAACAAGAUCCCCACAGGAUUCUCAACUUUGAGAAGCUCUGCUCUACAGUGUUGUCAGACCAUGCACUCCACAAAUAUUUACUGGAUUUUCUCUGUAUCAGGCUAGGAAUUGGGAGGGUCAAGGACCAAGGUCUUUGACUUUGAGAAGUUCACAGAACCAUCAGUCAGUCCCCUGCUGUGCCUUCAGACCAAGUCCAGACUUCUGUACUGGACAGCUGGGACUAUUUUCCAGCCUUGUCACCAGCUUUCCUGACUAGCACUUGACAUAAGAGCCAAGCUGGACCACUGGCCACUUCUCAUGGUGAGUCCAUGCCUGCCUGCCCACACAGUUGUCACAGCCCAGGCCACACUCUACCCUUCUCUGCCUCAAAAACCCCAGGAGGGAUCCUUUGAGGUCCAUCACAUCACCCUUUCUUAAAAUUAUCCCAGAUUUCCCUGCUCAGAUGAAAGACAGGAAUUCCCAUAACUUUGUUCCUACCGCCUUCAUGUCAUUGAUCUCAUUCCACUUACUCUUUUAAAGUCAAAGCGCAUCUCCCUUAGCUACCCAGUAAAGAAGGCAUCAUGGUAAGCAGCUUAUCUCUCCAGUAGCAAUAAGCUAACAACUGUCACAUCACCAAAUCUUAAAAUAGUAUUACUAAUAAUUGAAAUAUGUUAAAUAAAACAUGGAUAAAUGCAAUCAGUGAAAACCUCAUCAAUCAUCCCCAUCUCCCACUUCAAAUUUAUUUAGCUAUGAAUUUAAGCAAAGUACAAAUGGGUUGCCUCUCUUAAGCCAAAGAGAAAUAAUUUCUAAAUUAGAUAACACUUACAGCUUUCCAUACACCUAUAAUAAUGAAAGACUGAAUAUGCUGAAGAUGAAUUAUGUCGAAAACCAACUACUUUUCUGUAGUUGACCAUUUAACUUCACAUAAUACACUACAAAUUUGAAAACACUUCAGAUUUGUAUUACAAUCAAUUAAGGAGGGGUUGAGAAAGGAGAGAGACGAAGAGAAAGACAGGAAGUAGACCAAAAUAUAGAAAAGGGACACGGAUCUAUACCAAAUAUCUGGCUGCUCUAAAAGUAAAAAUAUAAUUAGAUUCGUUUUUUAAGAAGAUUAAACACUGGCAAGAAUGCCUGUCUUAAUCCUAUCCAAACGCUGGAAGUUCUGUUCUC
rnacentral:lncRNA from 1 species